rnacentral:rRNA from 1 species
UACGGAGGGUGCAAGCGUUAUCCGGAUUCACUGGUUUAAAGGGUGCGUAGGAGGGCAGGUAAGUCAGUGGUGAAAUCCCCGAGCUUAACUUGGGAACUGCCGUUGAUACUAUCUGUCUUGAAUGUUGUGGAGGUGAGCGGAAUAUGUCAUGUAGCGGUGAAAUGCUUAGAUAUGACAUACGAACACCAAUUGCGAAGGCAGCUAC